CCUACGGGUGGCAGCAGUGAGGAAUAUUGGUCAAUGGACGCAAGUCUGAACCAGCCAUGCCGCGUGCAGGAAGACGGUUCAGUGUGUCGUAAACCGCUUUUGUAAGAGGACAAACGCAGAUACGUGUCUCCGUCUGAAUGUACCUUACGAAUAAGCAUCGGCUAACUCCGUGCCAGCAGCCGCGGUAAUACGGAGGAUUCCAGCGUUAUCCGGAUUUAUUGGGUUUAAAGGGUGCGUAGGCGGUCGGAUAAGUUAGAGGUGAAAUCCCGAGGCUCAACUUCGGAAUUGCCUUUGAAACUGGCAGGCUAGAGUGUGGGAGAGGUAGGCGGAAUGCGUGGUGUAGCGGUGAAAUGCAUAGAGAUCAUACAGAACACCGAUUGCGAAGGCAGCAUGCCAGGUUAACACUGACGCUGAGGCACGAAAGCGUGGGUAGCGAACAGGAUUAGAUACCCCGGUAGUC
rnacentral:rRNA from 1 species